rnacentral:tRNA from 1 species
UGCGGAGUAGCCAAGUCGGCAAGGCACGAGUCUCUGAAACUCGUACGCGCAGGUUCGACUCCUGCCUCCGCAGCCA